GUGGGGGUUCUAGGGUUUUCUAGUUUCUAUUUUAUAAGAGAAAAAAAUAAAAAGGAUUUUAUUUUUCUUCUUCCAUGUUAUCUCCUCCUUGAAAAGCUCUUUCUUCUAAUCUAGAGGUGUCUAUUUGAUCUGAAGAAAGGGGCCUCCUUCAGUUAUCCAGAUCCUUCGUCACGAGCUAGCACUCCUGAGAAGGACGAUCUGUUCGAGGCUUCUUAUGGAUCACUUGUAGAGGUCGGACACAUUGUGCGGCUACUUUACAUUAGGAAGGACCUCCUACCAUAUGUAUCAGUAGUGGUGAUCAUCAACCCGUGAUUAGGUAAUGGGUUCUAAACUCAUCAGAUUAGAUCUAAGUGUUAGAUCUGAUUUAGGGCAUCGAUAUGAUUGAUGUAGUAUUUUCUUUUAUAUCAGAUUAUUUUUGUAUGUUAUUUUCAUGU
rnacentral:lncRNA from 1 species